AAAAAUUAAGACAAGUCGUUUUUGGUGGUUUUGCCUGGGAUUGGACAUGUUUGUUUCAGUCUACAGUCGAUAGGGAGUACUUUUCCUCAAACCUCCACGCAAACUGAAUGCUGCUGAUGGUGACCUUGAAAUCCCAAUAGGAAUCAUCUUCAAUGGUGAAAACGGAAGUCCAGAGCAAGAACUGAACCCCUCCCAGCUGGAGAUCCUUCUAGAGGGCAAUGUGGUAAUGGAUUCCAUCUGCAGUCUUCCUUUGGCAAUGUGUCUCCUGUUUGGACUGACUUGUGCACUCCGCUUGGAGUACCCAAAGUGCAUGAAGAAUACAUUCCUGUUUAUCCAGCAGAUUAUGCUGAAUCUGGGACGAAACGAUCCUCCUCCAAAACUCCAAAGGCUAAAAAAUGAGCUUUCAAUGUGUGCAUAGAUACAUUGAAUGUUCACUCUUCAUUGAGCAGCUUUUUCUCAAGUUCAGGAAGUCAUUAUUGUGUUUGUAAUUGUCUUUUUUUGUUUUUAGUGGAUGGCAAAACCAGGGCUUAAAGGAGUAGUUCACUGAUUUUACAUACUGAGAUAUGUUCUUACCUUAGCUUUGAAGAGUUGAUGCAUACCUGUCUUGUCUUUGUGCGAGAGAAAGGCUCUCCCAUAUAUUCCAACUACCUCCACGUUUUGCUCCUUUUAGAAGCUACCGAGCUCCUCCACGUUUUCCCUAUUUAUGUAAAAUUACAUGAAAAGUUACACUAUCUAAGUUUAGUUUCACUAAAUUUAACGUAUAGAUUUUUUAAGCCGAUAAAAAGGGGCACUAUAUUACAAGUGCGCAGUAACCCUAGUGCACUCUGGAGCAUAGACUGAGUUACUGGGGGGAUGAAGAAGUGCUACUACAGUGUUAUUACACCUUGUAAUAUAGUACCCCUUGGAGGUAUUUGGAAUAUAUGGGAGAGGCUUUGCUCCAUUUGCAUGACUGAGGGCACGCACAAAGACAAGACUGGUACACAUCAACUCGUCAAAUCUAAGGUAAGAACAUAUCUUAUUAUGUAAAAUCAGUGAACUAUUCCUUUAAUUUCAUUGUCUCGCUGGGGCCAUUCCUUAUUCCAUAGUUUUUAUUUUUCCAAGUUAAAAUAUUUGUGAAAAUAAGUUUUACUGUUACAACUUGUUACCCAGAGUGUCGCACCAAAGUUCUUUAUUUGUGAUACACAGUUUUAUCUGUUUAAAAGGAUUGUUUUAAAGAAAAUGUUUUAUUGGAAGUCCAAUUGUGCAAACAAAAAACUUACUGUUCAAAAAAAACUACCUCAGAGACCACAAAUAAAUUCUUGUCAAAAAGUGGCUAGGAACAACUGAAAUAUUGUGUUUGUUUCUGAAAGAAAUGUCUUCUUAGAAGCGCCAUGUGUAAAAAUUGGAAUACUGUUCAAAGGAAAACAAAAGUCUUGUUUUGUUAUAAAUAAAGUAAAAAAAAAAAACAAGAAA